rnacentral:rRNA from 1 species
GACGAACGCUGGCGGCGUGCUUAACACAUGCAAGUCGAACGGAAAGGCCCUGCUUUUGUGGGGUGCUCGAGUGGCGAACGGGUGAGUAACACGUGAGUAACCUGCCCUUGACUUUGGGAUAACUUCAGGAAACUGGGGCUAAUACCGGAUAGGAGCUCCUGCUGCAUGGUGGGGGUUGGAAAGUUUCGGCGGUUGGGGAUGGACUCGCGGCUUAUCAGCUUGUUGGUGGGGUAGUGGCUUACCAAGGCUUUGACGGGUAGCCGGCCUGAGAGGGUGACCGGCCACAUUGGGACUGAGAUACGGCCCAGACUCCUACAGGAGGCAGCAGUGAGGAAUAUUGCACAAUGGGCGGAAGCCUGAUGCAGCAACGCCGCGUGCGGGAUGACGGCCUUCGGGUUGUAAACCGCUUUCGCCUGUGACGAAGCGUGAGUGACGGUAAUGGGUAAAGAAGCACCGGCUAGCUACGUG